AUUUUAAUGAGAGCAGACACUUACCACCCCCAAGUAGCUAAAUGGGCUAAAAAUAUCCCUUGUUUUGGUAUUUCUAGAUUCCCUGAGGUUUUACGCUAGAGUAACACAACUGAUUUAGUGGAAUCCCUCCUGACUCACAUGGGUGUAAAUGAGAGGCGACUAAGGCCCCAAAUGUUGCACUUUUAAUGGAACCCUUCUCUUCUUGAUCCUGUGUCUGACCUCCCAUAUUUUAUCUUCCCAGGAUCAGCUCUGUGGUGUUAAUUAUAGGCAGGAACAAGUGCAACAGAAUUUGACUCAUCAAGAGAGGACCUGGGAAUUAGGACACCACUCAGUGUCAGUAACAGGAUUCAGAAUUUGAUGGCUUCGUGACAGAGGAGCAGGGAUGACUUGAUAAUGGAAGUGCAGCAGGAGGGCUCCAGAGGGACAGAAAAAGACAAGGAAUUGGAGGAGAAGUGAAGGAAGGAGGAGGAGAAGCAGAAGAUGGAGAACAAGGAGGCAGAGGAGGAUCAAAGGAAAGAGGAAAAAGAGCUGUUUUCACGUAUCUCCACCAUGAUUGUGUGAUUAGGGAGUAAGACAUGGAGUUUCACAAGGACAUGUUGGAGAGAUCGUUCAAGGUCAUGAGCCACAGGGGCAAACCUCAUUGGAAUCAGGAGCCAUAUGAAACCACCUCAAUGUUAUCAUCUAUUAUAAAAUAUGCAGAAUAAUUCCUUGGGCCAGCCAAAGAGCCCUGGAUCACCACCACAUCAUCAGCAUC